rnacentral:rRNA from 1 species
CUUUCUUUGCUGGCGACCGGCGCACGGGUGAGUAACACGUAUCCAACCUGCCCUUUACUCGGGGAUAGCCUUUCGAAAGAAAGAUUAAUACCCGAUAGCAUAAUGAUUCCGCAUGGUUUCAUUAUUAAAGGAUUCCGGUAAAGGAUGGGGAUGCGUUCCAUUAGGUUAUUGGUGAGGUAACGGCCCACCAAGCCUUCGAUGGAUAGGGGUUCUGAGAGGAAGGUCCCCCACAUUGGAACUGAGACACGGUCCAA